CCCUGACGUCUGAAAUGUCUAAACCUCGUGCCAAAUUAUUUUCUGCAUAUCCAAAAUGCGUGCAUGCUGAUAGGUAUUUCUUAUCUCCUGACUUUGCAGUGUGGGUUUCAGAUUAGCUUUUUAAAGGCAUAAAGACUAUCACUAUAUGUUUCCAUGUGUUCUCUAACAUAUUUCUACUCAAUUCUGAGUUUAAUUUCUGAUACCACGCACACAGCCUUUGCUCCUUGGAAGCAAAUAUCCAUUAAGUAUGAAGGAAGAAGGAAUUUGAAAGGAAAAAUAAUAUUUGCAAUUCCUGAACAAGAGAUGAAACAAUUGAUAAACCUGUCCUUGAGAAUACCUGCUUUACUUUGUGUAUAAUCAAAUUCCAAAGCCAGAAGUUGGCAACACCAGACUUCUCUACCCAGUAGCAAAUGUGUAUCCAGAGCUGACCAAUUAAGUUCAUAGGCAUGCUCAAUGAAGGAAGUCCUGAUUCAGUGGUAACCCUACCCUUAUUUUGCUAGUCUUUAGUGCUUUAAGACUCCUUGUACUACAUCCCAGUGCCUGACUUUGAUCCUCACUGCUUUAUAAUGAGGUAUGUUUUUUCGGAAUUGGCAGAUUUGGCCAGCAUGAUCCUGCCUGUAUGAUACAAUAGCAGACGUGACUGAGCAGCUCUGUCAUCCCAGUGUAGCUGCACCUGGUCUGACUGAUGUACUGAUGACUGUAGCUGCACCUGUGAUGAUCUUGAUUGCUCCCAAAAGGAUAUGACUGUCUCUUCAUAUGUAAGGCUUGCCUUCAUAGCCUAGCAUAGGGAGUACUCCCCCCA